CAAAAUUACUCGCCAGAGCACUACAAGCAACAGCUUAAAACUCAAAGGACUUGGCGGUGCUUUAUAUCCCUCUAGAGGAGCCUGUUCUAUAAUCGAUAAACCCCGAUAAACCUCACCACUUCUUGCUAAAUCAACUUAUAUACCGCCAUCCUCAGCAAACCCUGUCAAGGCCUCAAAGUAAGCAAAAACACAUACAUAAAGACGUUAGGUCAAGGUGUAGUCUAUGAAG
rnacentral:rRNA from 1 species